rnacentral:rRNA from 1 species
UACGAAGGGGGCUAGCGUUGCUCGGAAUCACUGGGCGUAAAGGGCGCGUAGGCGGGCUGUCAAGUCUGGGGUGAAAUGCCGCGGCUCAACCGUGGAACUGCCUUAGAUACUGACGGCCUCGAGGAAGGUAGGGGCAUGCGGAACUGUAGGUGGAGCGGUGAAAUGCGUUGAUAUCUACAGGAACUCCGGUGGCGAAAGCGGCGUGCUGGACCUUUUCUGACGCUGAGGCGCGAAAGCUAGGGGAGCAAACGGG